CACGACCCCAGGUCAGGCUGUGUUACCCGCCUAAUUUAU
rnacentral:rRNA from 1 species